UAGAAAUGACAUUGGAUGUACUCUAGGAUAGCAAGUCCUGCUCUUGUAUAAGCCACAUUGCCAAGUGCAGCCAGGGCAGUUAGGACAAGUUCCCUUUCGUGAGGACCCUGGUGGGUAACAAUAGCGUGUGGCUGGAGAAAGCUGUUAUACUGAAAUUAUAAAUAAUCUGUUGUUUCCAGGUCUGCAAAAGGAAGCCAUCAGGGAGCUAUGACCUUGUCUAAAACCAUCUAGGGAGAGACAUUUCUUCCUCUCUGAUCUGAAACAAAAUAAAAACCAUAAAAUGAAACCAUCAAAAAGUGGGAAGACUGGCCUCAGGAAGUAAAUGACAUUAAUUCUCUAGCAGACCCAGGACAGUCUGUGAUAUGGCGGGAGCCUCUGGACCAGCAUGGACCUGGAAUGAUAGGAGCUCAGCGUUCUCCCUGGG
rnacentral:lncRNA from 1 species